UUGACAUCCGAGCGAACUUUCCAGAGAUGGAUUGGUGCCUUCGGGAACGCUGAGACAGGUGCUGCAUGGCUGUCGUCAGCUCGUGUUGUGAAAUGUGGUUAAGUCCCGNAACGAGCGCAACCCUUAUCCUUUGUUGCCAGCGAUUCGGUCGGGAACUCAAAGGAGACUGCCGGUGAUAAACCGGAGGAAGGUGGGGAUGACGUCAAGUCAUCAUGGCCCUUACGAGUAGGGCUACACACGUGCUACAAUGGCGCAUACAAAGAGAAGCGACCUCGCGAGAGCAAGCGGACCUCAUAAAGUGCGUCGUAGUCCGGAUCGGAGUCUGCAACUCGACUCCGUGAAGUCGGAAUCGCUAGUAAUCGUGGAUCAGAAUGCCACGGUGAAUACGUUCCCGGGCCUUGUACACACCGCCCGUCACACCAUGGGAGUGGGUUGCAAAAGAAGUAGGUAGCUUAACCCUCGGGAGGGCGCUUACCACUUUGUGAUUCAUGACUGGGGUGAAGUCGUAACAAGGUAGGCGUAGCGAG
rnacentral:rRNA from 1 species